GAUUAUGGCUCAGGAUGAACGCUGGCGGCGUGCUUAACACAUGCAAGUCGAACGAAGCAACUUUCUUGCUUGCAAGAAAUUGACUUAGUGGCGGACGGGUGAGUAACGCGUGGGUAACCUGCCUCAUACAGGGGGAUAACAGUUGAAACGACUGCUAAGACCGCAUAACCCGCUAGUGUCGCAUGACACGGACGGAAAAUAUUUAUAGGUAUGAGAUGGGCCCGCGUCUGAUUAGCUAGUUGGUAAGGUAACGGCUUACCAAGGCGACGAUCAGUAGCCGACUUGAGAGAGUGAUCGGCCACAUUGGACUGAGACACGGCCCAAACUCCUACGGGAGGCAGCAGUGGGGAAUAUUGGACAAUGGGGGAAACCCUGAUCCAGCCGACGCCGCGUGAGUGAAGAAGUAUUUCGGUAUGUAAAGCUCUAUCAGCAGGGAAGAUAAUGACAGUACCUGACUAAGAAGCCCCGGCUAACUACGUGCCAGCCGCCGC
rnacentral:rRNA from 1 species